rnacentral:rRNA from 1 species
AACGAACGCUGGCGGCAUGCCUAACACAUGCAAGUCGAACGAGACCUUCGGGUCUAGUGGCGCACGGGUGCGUAACGCGUGGGAACCUGCCCUUAGGUUCGGAAUAACUCCCCGAAAGGGGUGCUAAUACCGGAUAAUGUCUUCGGACCAAAGAUUUAUCGCCUUUGGAUGGGCCCGCGUUGGAUUAGCUAGUUGGUAGGGUAAAAGCCUACCAAGGCGACGAUCCAUAGCUGGUCUGAGAGGAUGAUCAACCACACUGGGACUGAGACACGGCCCAGACUCCUACGGGAGGCAGCGGUGGGGAAUAUUGGACAAUGGGCGAAAGCCUGAUCCAGCAAUGCCGCGUGAGUGAUGAAGGCCUUAGGGUUGUAAAGCUCUUUUACCCGGGAUGAUAAUGACAGUACCGGGAGAAUAAGCUCCGGCUAACUCCGUG